GCGUGCGGAGAGCAUCUUGGUGUGUAAACUGCUUUUGUACGGGAAGAAACACUCCCUCGUGAGGGAGCUUGACGGUACCGUAAGAAUAAGGAUCGGCUAACUCCGUGCCAGCAGCCGCGGUAAUACGGAGGAUCCAAGCGUUAUCCGGAAUCAUUGGGUUUAAAGGGUCCGUAGGCGGCCUUGUAAGUCAGUGGUGAAAUCUCCCGGCUCAACCGGGAAACUGCCAUUGAUACUGCAGGGCUUGAAUAAUUAGGAAGUAACUAGAAUAUGUAGUGUAGCGGUGAAAUGCUUAGAUAUUACAUGGAAUACCAAUUGCGAAGGCAGGUUACUACUAAUUUAUUGACGCUGAUGGACGAAAGCGUGGGGAGCGAACAGGAUUAGAUACCCUGGUAGUCCACGCCGUAAACGAUGGAUACUAGCUGUUGGGAGCAAUUUCAGUGGCUAAGCGAAAGUGAUAAGUAUCCCACCUGGGGAGUACGAACGCAAGUUUGAAACUCGGGGGGGAUUGACGGAAAACCGGAGGGUUUUUUUGAAUUUCUG
rnacentral:rRNA from 1 species